CACCGCCUGCGGUGUUCGUGGGUUUUCGCCAAUCCCUUAGAACCUGUAUUACAGAUCGGGGAUCGCCUUGUAGGCACCGUUGUGCAUGUCCCGCUUAAUGCGGGAAAGCCUUAAGGUAUCGCAGCGGUCCCCACUUGAACCCUAAGGUUCAAGGUACACCGGGAACUUACGGCACAAGCGGGUGGUGC
rnacentral:other from 1 species